AAGCUUAGGGCACCGUUUAUUUUAUCAGCUUUCUUAUCUGUACUUCCUCUCUCUAAAAAAAAAGCUUCUUCAUUGAAGCUCAGCUGCACAAAGAAAUAUUUUGCCUAUUUUCUAGCUUGAAUCAGCUUCUCAACAUAGAGUGUCUUACAUUGAUGACCAUAUAGAUCCAGAAGGGUGGGCCCCUUGGGAUGAUAAAAUGUACUUGGAUACAUUGUGCUAUGGUGAGUACAAGAACAAUGGGCCAGUUGCUGAUACUAGCAAAAUGGUAAAAUGGAAGGGUUAUCAAUGUUAUUACUAAAGCUACUGAUGCCAUGAAAUAUAUAUACUGUAUAGUGUCCAUAUCUAAGAUUUCAACUGUGUAUAUAUUGGUAUCUUAAUUAUUCCGAGCUCGAAUCCAUUUGAGUUAGCUGAUAAGGAGUAGGUGAAAGUAUCACCUACGAAAAAAUAUUUUUAGGUGCUGUAGCUAAUCAAUAUAUAUAUAUAUAUAUAUAAAAGAAGAAUGUUAGUUUAUUA